AGCAGCAUGGCGCAGUGGUAGCGCGCGGGGCUCAUAACCCUGAGGUCACUCGAUCGAAACGAGUUGCUGCUA
rnacentral:tRNA from 1 species